AGAUUGAACGCUGGCGGCGUGCCUAACACAUGCAAGUCGAGCGGUAACAGGUGUAGCAAUACAUGCUGACGAGCGGCGAACGGGUGAGUAAUGCUUUGGAAUCUUCCCAGUAGUGGGGAAUAACCAGUCGAAAGAUUGGCUAAUACCGCAUACGUCUGUAAAGGGAAAGCGGGGGCUCGUAAGACCUCGCGCUAUUGGAUGAGCCAAAGUCGGAUUAGCUAGUUGGUGGGGUAAUGGCCUACCAAGGCGACAAUCCGUAGCUGGUCUGAGAGGAUGAUCAGCCACACUGGGAUUGAGAACGGCCCAGACUCCUACGGGGGGCAGCAGUGAGGAAUUUCGUCAAUGGGGAAACCCUGAACGAGCAACGCCGCGUGCAGGAAGACACUUUUCGGAGCGUAAACUGCUUUUCUCGGGGACGAGUAAGGACGGUACCCGAGGAAUCGAGCCCCGGCUAACUACGUGCCAGCAGCCGC
rnacentral:rRNA from 1 species